GGAAAAGCCGGCCUACCUGGGCCAAUAGGACUGGACGGCACUCCAGGAAGUACCGGGCCCAAGGGCGAAAAGGGUGAAGUUGGCGUUGGCAUGCCAGGGCCUCCCGGCCUCAAGGGAGCAGAAGGAGAAAAGGGGGCAUUGGGACUUCCUGGAUCCCAAGGGCAGAAGG